rnacentral:tRNA from 1 species
UAGGCGGUUAGUUUAAUUAAAACAUUUGAUUUCGGCUCAAAAACAUGCGGUUUAACUCCACAACCACCUAA